UGGGGAAUAUUGGACAAUGGGCGCAAGCCUGAUCCAGCAAUGCCGCGUGUGUGAAGAAGGCCUUCGGGUUGUAAAGCACUUUUAUCAGGAGCGAAACGCUGUCGGCUAAUACCCGGCGGAACUGACGGUACCUGAGGAAUAAGCACCGGCUAACUUCGUGCCAGCAGCCGCGGUAAUACGAAGGGUGCAAGCGUUAAUCGGAAUUACUGGGCGUAAAGCGUGCGUAGGCGGUUUCUUAAGUCUGCUGUGAAAUCCCCGGGCUCAACCUGGGAAUGCAGUGGAUACUGGGAGGCUAGAGUGUGUCAGAGGGUGGUGGAAUUCCCGGUGUAGCGGUGAAAUGCGUAGAGAUCGGGAGGAACAUCAGUGGCGAAGGCGGCCACCUGGGACAACACUGACGCUGAGGCACGAAAGCGUGGGGAGCAAACAGGAUUAGAUACCCUGGUAGUCCACCCCUAAACGAUGCGAACUGGAUGUUGGUCUCAACUCGGAGAUCAGUGUCGAAGCUAACGCGUUAAGUUCGCCGCCUGGGGAGUACGGUCGCAAGACUGAAACUCAAAGGAAUUGACGGGGUCAUAGCUGUUUCCUG
rnacentral:rRNA from 1 species